ensembl:lncRNA
CCACUAGAGCCACUAGUAAGAAUCACUAGAGUUAGGUUUCUUUUGUCACAAACUGAGUGAAUUUUACUGAACGGCAGGGGCAGCUGGAGUAUCUUUCCUACCACCUUUGCCAAGAUUUUGUUUAUGCCGUAAAACACUGACCGGUUAUGAAAAUUCCCCACUGGAUGAAAAAUAGAUGACUUUGUUCAAGUACAGGAGGUUAAUUUGUUAAGUUGAGCCCUGUGUUGUGAAGAGACAUGGAGGCUGUGUUUGGACUGUUGGGGAUCUUAGUAGGAGUGUCUCAUGGUUUUGUUUUAUGGUUCUAUCAACAGGCAUAUAUCAAAUGCACCCCUCCUUGACAAGAUCACAGAGACACAGUGACUGGCACACAGACAUUGUGGAGCCAAGAGAUACACGCUUGACCUCUCCCCUCUCUGCGGCCCAAGUAACUUAGUCCUGACAGAGAACAGAUGACUGCAGAUGGCGAACAGUAUUAUACAAAAACAGACAUUCUGAUGAGAAGUAACUCACAAACAUAUAAUGAAAAUAAAACAUCUUAUCUAUGUUACCCAACUAAUUCUGAUUAUUCCCCAACACGUAUUAAAGUGCACUUCUUCCUGUGGAACUCUCUGCUCUCUGCGCCUGAUUCUUCUUCACACACCUAGUCCCUCGUGACAAUUAGCCCAUGAAAAUGCAUUGAAUAACAGAUAGUCCCAUGAAAGAAUCUAAAGGAUAUUUGUUCUGAAGUGUCUUUCCUAUAUCUGAGAGAUAUAAGAAAUAUCAGGAAACGUGUAUAUACACUACCAUUCAAAAGUUUGGGAUCACUUUGAAAUGUCCUUGUUUUGAAAGAAAAGCAAAUGUUUAGUCCAUUAAAAUAACAUCAAAUUGAUCAGAAAUACAGUGUAGACUUUGUUAAUGUUGUAAAUUACUAUUGUCGCUGGAAACUGCUAAUUUGUUUAUGGAAUAUCUACAUAGGUGUACAGAGGCCCAUUAUCAGUAACCACCGCUCCUGUGUUCCAGUGGCAUGUUGUGUUAGCUGCAUUAAGUGCAUUAAAAUGCAUUAAGAUGGAAAGAAAUUCCACAAAUGAACUUUUACCAAGGCAAACCUGUUGAUUGAAAUGCAUUACAGUGGACUGACUACCUCAUGAAGUUGGUUGAGAUAAUGCCAAGAGUGUGCACAGCAGUCAUCAAGGCAAAGGGUGGCUACUUUGAAGAAUCUAAAAUGUUUUGAUUGAACCCUUUUUUGGUUACAUGAUUCCAUAUGUUAUUUCAUCAUUUUUAUAUCUUCACUAUUCUACAAUGUAAAAAAUUAAGAAAAAUCCUGGAAUGAGUAGGUGUCAACUUUUGACUGGUACUGUAUAUGUAUAUAUUGUAUAUUACUUUUUUUUUUGCACUGAACAGUCUCAUAUAUAUAUACACUUCCAUAUACUAUUGCGUGCUUGUAUCAUCAUCUGUAAAAUUAAACUCAAAACGGGGACAG